rnacentral:rRNA from 1 species
UGGGGAAUAUUGGACAAUGGACCAAAAGUCUGAUCCAGCAAUUCUGUGUGCACGAUGACGUUUUUCGGAAUGUAAAGUGCUUUCAGUUGGGAAGAAAAAAAUGACGGUACCAACAGAAGAAGUGACGGCUAAAUACGUGCCAGCAGCCGCGGUAAUACGUAUGUCACAAGCGUUAUCCGGAUUUAUUGGGCGUAAAGCGCGUCUAGGUGGUUAUGUAAGUCUGAUGUGAAAAUGCAGGGCUCAACUCUGUAUUGCGUUGGAAACUGCAUGACUAGAGUACUGGAGAGGUAAGCGGAACUACAAGUGUAGAGGUGAAAUUCGUAGAUAUUUGUAGGAAUGCCGAUGGGGAAGCCAGCUUACUGGACAGAUACUGACGCUAAAGCGCGAAAGCGUGGGUAGCAAACAGGAUUAGAUACCCUGGUAGUCCACGCCGUAAACGAUGAUUACUAGGUGUUGAGGGUCGAACCUCAGCGCCCAAGCUAACGCGAUAAGUAAUCCGCCUGGNAGUACGUACGCAAGUAUG